ACGGUCCUGUCGAGAAUUUAAACUCUCAUGAAAUAGUAAUAAACAAGAAGAAGAAUGAAGAAGUAGCCGAAACAAAUGUGAGGUUAAAGAAUUGCAGUAAUAACGUAAACAACAUUUCUUUUUUCGUUUUUGAUAAAACAAUUAUUAAUUAAUAUCUCAAGAAUCGUAUAAGUUAUUUAUUAUGGGCAAACGCUCGUGUCCUUUUGAAGAAAGUUUUGCUCCACAAUUGAAAAGGCAUGUUUCAGAAGUGGAAUUAAACGCCAAUGAAUGUGUAGAGAAAAUUCAUUCUAAAACUUUGGCAAUUCUUUUUCGUGGUUCAAGAAAAUUAGGUUGUUCUAAGAAAAAAACAAAUGGGAUAUGUAAAUGCAUGAAUUGUCAUUGCCAGAAUAAUUUAACUGCGAAAUGUUGGUUU